rnacentral:rRNA from 1 species
CACGUAGGCACCAAGCGUUGUCCGGAUUUAUUGGGCGUAAAGAGCUCGUAGGCGGUUCGAUAAGUCGGACGUGAAAUCUCCACGCUCAACGUGGAGGGGCCGUUCGAUACUGUCGUGACUCGAGUCCGGUAGGGGAGUGUGGAAUUCCCGGUGUAGCGGUGAAAUGCGCAGAGAUCGGGAGGAACACCCGUAGCGAAGGCGGCACUCUGGGCCGGUACUGACGCUGAGGAGCGAAAGCGUGGGGAGCAAACAGG